rnacentral:rRNA from 1 species
GGAAAGGCCUCUUCGGAGGUACUCGAGUGGCGAACGGGUGAGUAACACGUGGGCAAUCUGCCCUGCACUUCGGGAUAAGCCUGGGAAACUGGGUCUAAUACCGGAUAGGGCCUCAAGACGCAUGUCUUCUGGUGGAAAGCUUUUUCGGUGUGGGAUGGGCCCGCGGCCUAUCAGCUUGUUGGUGGGGUGACGGCCUACCAAGGCGACGACGGGUAGCCGGCCUGAGAGGGUGUCCGGCCACACUGGGACUGAGAUACGGCCCAGACUCCUACGGGAGGCAGCAGAAGGG